AUGAACGCUAGCUACAGGCUUAACACAUGCAAGUCGAGGGGAAACGAUAUCGGAAGCUUGCUUCCGAUAGGCGUCGACCGGCGCACGGGUGAGUAACGCGUAUCCAACCUGCCCACCACUUGGGGAUAACCUUGCGAAAGUAAGACUAAUACCCAAUGAUAUCUCUAGAAGACAUCUGAAAGAGAUUAAAGAUUUAUCGGUGAUGGAUGGGGAUGCGUCUGAUUAGCUUGUUGGCGGGGUAACGGCCCACCAAGGCAACGAUCAGUAGGGGUUCUGAGAGGAAGGUCCCCCACAUUGGAACUGAGACACGGUCCAAACUCCUACGGGAGGCAGCAGUGGGGAAUAUUGCACAAUGGGGGAAACCCUGAUGCAGCGACGCCGCGUGGAGGAAGAAGGUCUUCGGAUUGUAAACUCCUGUUGUUGAGGAAGAUAAUGACGGUACUCAACAAGGAAGUGACGGCUAACUACGUGCCAGCAGCCGCGGUAAUACGGAAGGUCCGGGCGUUAUCCGGAUUUAUUGGGUUUAAAGGGAGCGUAGGCCGGAGAUUAAGCGUGUUGUGAAAUGUAGACGCUCAACGUCUGCACUGCAGCGCGAACUGGUUUCCUUGAGUACGCACAAAGUGGGCGGAAUUCGUGGUGUAGCGGUGAAAUGCUUAGAUAUCACGAAGAACUCCGAUUGCGAAGGCAGCUCACUGGAGCGCAACUGACGCUGAAGCUCGAAAGUGCGGGUAUCGAACAGGAUUAGAUACCCUGGUAGUCCGCACGGUAAACGAUGGAUGCCCGCUGUUGGUCUGAAUAGGUCAGCGGCCAAGCGAAAGCAUUAAGCAUCCCACCUGGGGAGUACGCCGGCAACGGUGAAACUCAAAGGAAUUGACGGGGGCCCGCACAAGCGGAGGAACAUGUGGUUUAAUUCGAUGAUACGCGAGGAACCUUACCCGGGCUUGAAUUGCAGAGGAAGGAUUUGGAGACAAUGACGCCCUUCGGGGUCUCUGUGAAGGUGCUGCAUGGUUGUCGUCAGCUCGUGCCGUGAGGUGUCGGCUUAAGUGCCAUAACGAGCGCAACCCCUCUCCUUAGUUGCCAUCAGGUUAAGCUGGGCACUCUGGGGACACUGCCACCGUAAGGUGUGAGGAAGGUGGGGAUGACGUCAAAUCAGCACGGCCCUUACGUCCGGGGCUACACACGUGUUACAAUGGCAGGUACAGAGAGACGGUCCUUUGCAAAACGGAUCAAAUCCUUAAAGCCUGUCUCAGUUCGGACUGGGGUCUGCAACCCGACCCCACGAAGCUGGAUUCGCUAGUAAUCGCGCAUCAGCCAUGGCGCGGUGAAUACGUUCCCGGGCCUUGUACACACCGCCCGUCAAGCCAUGAAAGCCGGGGGCGCCUAAAGUCCGUGACCGUAAGGAGCGGCCUAGGGCGAAACUGGUAAUUGGGGCU
rnacentral:rRNA from 1 species